rnacentral:rRNA from 1 species
UUAAGCGACUAAGCGUACACGGUGGAUGCCCUGGCAGUCAGAGGCGAUGAAGGACGUGCUAAUCUGCGAAAAGCGUCGGUAAGGUGAUAUGAACCGUUAUAACCGGCGAUGUCCGAAUGGGGAAACCCAGUGUGAUUCGUCACACUAUCGUUAACUGAAUACAUAGGUUAACGAGGCGAACCGGGGGAACUGAAACAUCUAAGUACCCCGAGGAAAAGAAAUCAACCGAGAUUCCCCCAGUAGCGGCGAGCGAACGGGGAGCAGCCCAGAGUCUGAAUCAGCUUGUGUGUUAGUGGAACGGUCUGGAAAGUCCGACGGUACAGGGUGAUAGUCCCGUACACCAAAAUGCACAGGCUGUGAACUCGAAGAGUAGGGCGGGACACGUGGUAUCCUGUCUGAAUAUGGGGGGACCAUCCUCCAAGGCUAAAUACUCCUGACUGACCGAUAGUGAACCAGUACCGUGAGGGAAAGGCGAAAAGAACCCCGGCGAGGGGAGUGAAAAAGAACCUGAAACCGUGUACGUACAAGCAGUGGGAGCACCUUCGGGUGUGACUGCGUACCUUUUGUAUAAUGGGUCAGCGACUUAUAUUCUGUAGCAAGGUUAACCGUAUAGGGGAGCCGCAGGGAAACCGAGUCUUAACUGGGCGUUAAGUUGCAGGGUAUAGACCCGAAACCCGGUGAUCUAGCCAUGGGCAGGUUGAAGGUUGGGUAACACUAACUGGAGGACCGAACCGACUAAUGUUGAAAAAUUAGCGGAUGACUUGUGGCUGGGGGUGAAAGGCCAAUCAAACCGGGAGAUAGCUGGUUCUCCCCGAAAGCUAUUUAGGUAGCGCCUCGUGAACUCAUCUUCGGGGGUAGAGCACUGUUUCGGCUAGGGGGUCAUCCCGACUUACCAACCCGAUGCAAACUACGAAUACCGAAGAAUGUUAUCACGGGAGACACACGGCGGGUGCUAACGUCCGUCGUGAAGAGGGAAACAACCCAGACCGCCAGCUAAGGUCCCAAAGUCAUGGUUAAGUGGGAAACGAUGUGGGAAGGCACAGACAGCCAGGAUGUUGGCUUAGAAGCAGCCAUCAUUUAAAGAAAGCGUAAUAGCUCACUGGUCGAGUCGGCCUGCGCGGAAGAUGUAACGGGGCUAAACCAUGCACCGAAGCUGCGGCAGCGACACUAUGUGUUGUUGGGUAGGGGAGCGUUCUGUAAGCCUGCGAAGGUGUGCUGUGAGGCAUGCUGGAGGUAUCAGAAGUGCGAAUGCUGACAUAAGUAACGAUAAAGCGGGUGAAAAGCCCGCUCGCCGGAAGACCAAGGGUUCCUGUCCAACGUUAAUCGGGGCAGGGUGAGUCGACCCCUAAGGCGAGGCCGAAAGGCGUAGUCGAUGGGAAACAGGUUAAUAUUCCUGUACUUGGUGUUACUGCGAAGGGGGGACGGAGAAGGCUAUGUUAGCCGGGCGACGGUUGUCCCGGUUUAAGCAUGUAGGCUGGUUGUCCAGGCAAAUCCGGAUAAUCAAGGCUGAGGUGUGAUGACGAGGCACUACGGUGCUGAAGUAACAAAUGCCCUGCUUCCAGGAAAAGCCUCUAAGCAUCAGGUAACAUCAAAUCGUACCCCAAACCGACACAGGUGGUCAGGUAGAGAAUACCAAGGCGCUUGAGAGAACUCGGGUGAAGGAACUAGGCAAAAUGGUGCCGUAACUUCGGGAGAAGGCACGCUGGUGUGUAGGUGAAGUCCCUGCGGAUGGAGCUGAGACCAGUCGAAGAUACCAGCUGGCUGCAACUGUUUAUUAAAAACACAGCACUGUGCAAACACGAAAGUGGACGUAUACGGUGUGACGCCUGCCCGGUGCCGGAAGGUUAAUUGAUGGGGUUAUCCGUAAGGAGAAGCUCUUGAUCGAAGCCCCGGUAAACGGCGGCCGUAACUAUAACGGUCCUAAGGUAGCGAAAUUCCUUGUCGGGUAAGUUCCGACCUGCACGAAUGGCGUAAUGAUGGCCAGGCUGUCUCCACCCGAGACUCAGUGAAAUUGAACUCGCUGUGAAGAUGCAGUGUACCCGCGGCAAGACGGAAAGACCCCGUGAACCUUUACUAUAGCUUGACACUGAACAUUGAGCCUUGAUGUGUAGGAUAGGUGGGAGGCUUUGAAGCGUGGACGCCAGUCUGCGUGGAGCCAACCUUGAAAUACCACCCUUUAAUGUUUGAUGUUCUAACGUUGGCCCCUGACCGGGGUUGCGGACAGUGUCUGGUGGGUAGUUUGACUGGGGCGGUCUCCUCCCAAAGCGUAACGGAGGAGCACGAAGGUUAGCUAAUCCUGGUCGGACAUCAGGAGGUUAGUGCAAUGGCAUAAGCUAGCUUGACUGCGAGCGUGACGGCGCGAGCAGGUGCGAAAGCAGGUCAUAGUGAUCCGGUGGUUCUGAAUGGAAGGGCCAUCGCUCAACGGAUAAAAGGUACUCCGGGGAUAACAGGCUGAUACCGCCCAAGAGUUCAUAUCGACGGCGGUGUUUGGCACCUCGAUGUCGGCUCAUCACAUCCUGGGGCUGAAGUAGGUCCCAAGGGUAUGGCUGUUCGCCAUUUAAAGUGGUACGCGAGCUGGGUUUAGAACGUCGUGAGACAGUUCGGUCCCUAUCUGCCGUGGGCGCUGGAGAAUUGAGGGGGGCUGCUCCUAGUACGAGAGGACCGGAGUGGACGCAUCACUGGUGUUCGGGUUGUCAUGCCAAUGGCACUGCCCGGUAGCUAAAUGCGGAAGAGAUAAGUGCUGAAAGCAUCUAAGCACGAAACUUGCCCCGAGAUGAGUUCUCCCUGAGACUAUAAGUCUCCUGAAGGAACGUUAAAGACGAUGACGUUGAUAGGCCGGGUGUGUAAGCGCAGCGAUGCGUUGAGCUAACCGGUACUAAUGAACCGUGAGGCUUAACCUU